rnacentral:lncRNA from 1 species
UUCGAUCAAGAACGAAUAUUUUGAAGGUGUUUCUAUAUUGUGGAGCAUAAGGCAAAUUUUAAAGGAGUUGAUGGUCGAUGGAGGUUUAGUGUUGAGAAUUGCCUACAACCCUUAUCCUACCCCUAAAUAGGCCGUAUAUGAUGGUACACAACGUCUAACGGUUAAAGGAAGAUUGAAAAUUCAAACGAACACGGUUCCAACGGAUAACUCGGAUAUAAACACACCACCUGAAUGAAUCCGAUAAACAAACCAAACCCGUAAUAGGAUACAGUCACACCACCUAUCACGAAUAAGGGUCCAAAGAUCACAUCUCAAGAUGCUAAACUUGAGAUAGCAAUGGAAGAAUUUUAGCUCUCUAGUGGGGAAAACCAAAAAAAAUUAUAAAACUAAUUUCUCUGAUCUUUUCAUUGAUGAACUCGUAAGGUUUUGUUACAAGAGAAAUUACAACCUCCCACUAAGCCAUGAUCCUAUCCUUUAGGGAAUAAUACUGUGAACACGUAAAACAAAAAGGAAACUGAAAGUAGUGGCAUAAAAUAAAAUUACAACUAGGAAAUUAAAAAAAAACAAGAAAUAAUUAAAAGACUGCAUGCAUGGGAGGAUGGCCAGUGGGCUCAUGAGCCUGUCGUUCAUUUGAUAUGGGUUGUGGGCCCAUCAAUCGAAACCCUCCUGACCCAAUUGUUACUUGAUCCAGAAUGAAAGGUUGGUCCAUCUCCUUUGGUAACAACAAGUAAAUCAAAUUCAAUGGCUAGUGAGUGUUGAACCAGGGGUUCGUUCCUAUCAUUCCUGUCAACGUCGGAAAAGUUUGCCCUCAAACUUGGGAUAGGCUCGCCAGGAUCAUAGUAGGGCUGCAGGUCAGCAACAUUAAAAGUCGCAGACACGCCAUAAGCAUCGGGAAGCUUGAUCUUGAAAACGAUCUUUGCUGAGAUGAAUCCACAUGAGAUCACCCCGUUGGAAUGCAAUAGUCUCCGCUAUUUAUCGCGACGUUCUUUUUCCUGCAUAUUAACUUGGUGACCCGAUCACGGACUUGCACAUGAAUGGCUUGAAUAUCCCGAGCCCGAGCCUCGACAUCAUGGCUGAGCUGGACAGAGGUAUCCAAGGCGACUAAAUCAAUUGGAGUGAUAGGAUUGACACCAUAAACAAUCUCAAACGGGCUACGACCAGUGGCCUUGUGUGGGACCUGGUUGUAAGCGAAUGAUGCGUGGGGUAGAGCAACAUCCCACUAAGUAAUCCAGUUAUAAAGUCGAUGCUGAGAUCUUCCCAAGGGGCAUGUGGCACAGGUAAAGGCAGGUACAAUCCCUGAUUUUGUGAACGACCUUUGGCAAUAUAACACGCUAGACAGCGCUAAAUGUAGUGAUCAACACCACGAAUAAACCGAUGCCAAUAAAAGGAGUGUUUGACCAGAAGACUUGUUUUAUCAGCUCCAAAGUGACCAGAGAGGUUUCCCUCAUGUAGUUCUUGGAUCAAAGUUAGACGAAGGCUGGUUCGUGGAAUACACAACCGUGUGCCUUUGAAAAGAUAACCGUUAGAAGGGUGAAAAUCCUUGACUGGAUGGUGAGAGCACUGAAGGAAGAGUUCACCGGAGUCCUCAUUGGUAAUAUACACUUGUUUGAUUGAUUCCAUUUCGACAAUCUUUGCAACUAAUGUAGUAGUAAGGAGAUGUUUACGUGACAAAGCAUUAGCCCCCUUGUUCAACCAACCUGAUUUAUGGCGAAUAGUGAAAGAAAAGGAUUGGAUAAAUUCGACCAAUUUG